ACCGGCUCCCAGGAUGAACUUGUUGGUUUGGUGCGAAUGUGUUCAGCACGUCAUCAAUCACGGGUUCGAGGGGAGCUGGUACCAAGUCGGAAGCAACGUACAGGAAUUGUGUGUGUGUGUAUAUAUGGACCUGUCUAUGGUACAGAUUCUGUAACAAACAUCUCCCGUCAUCCCACCAUCCGAUCUUCUAUUGUUUAGUUUCUCACUCCACAUCCAACGGCUGAUGCUGCAGUCCGUAGCUUACAUGAAAAAAGGUAUUACAAAAUACCUUCUUUUUAUCACAAAUGCAAAAAAGUUAUUAUUAUUUUUUAUUGAUUUCUUAUUAAUAAGAGAUUUGAAAAGUAUAAACGUCUUAUUAUAUAUAAACCUAGUUUUUUUUGUUUAAGGAUAUCAAACAUUCAGUCAUAAUCUUGUUUUCUUUUUUUUCCUUUUGCUUGUCAUAUAUGCAAUGACGAGAUCUACGUCAUGAGAAAAGCAAUAAUGGAAUCACAUAUGGAGUUGAUCUUGAUGAUUCAAGUUGAAAAAGGAAUUUAUGUAUCUAUUCAUGAAGUGUAAUGACCUUUAUAUUAUGACAAACUUAGAAGAUACAAAUAUCCUUUUUCUUGUAUUAGAGAAUUUCAGUGGGUAUUUAUAAGUUCAUACUUUAAUCACAUUACUAGAGAUUGAAGAAAUUUGAGAUCUUACAAUGAAUUAUAUUUUUUUUUUUUUAAAAAAAAAACAAUCAUCUUAGGGCCAGUUUGAUAAUACUAUAACUUUUAAAAUAAUGGUUGUUAAUUAUGCAAUUGUAAAGAGAAUCAAUUAAACGUUUGGUAAUAUUUAUUUUUAAAAGCACUAUGGGUUUUGAAAGUAAUUAUAUAUGUUUAGUAAAUCUUACUAUUAAACUGCUGUAAAAAUAUAAAUAACUGAAAUAGACUUGAUAUCAAAUAAAUUUUAUUUAUCGAUUUAUAAACACGUAUGUAAAAUAUUUUUUAUUGUGUAUAUAAGAAUUGAUAACUAAAAUAAAUAUUUUCUUAUGAUUUUGAUUUUUAUCUUGUCAUCUCAAUGCAAUUGUCAAUAAUAAUAAUCUCUUCAAUUUUAAUGAUAUUUCCUAAUUGAUAAGGAUAAUUUUAUAUUUUUAUCAUAAGUGUGUGUAUAUAAAUUUUAUUAAGUAUAAACCUAAUUUAAAAAUCAGAUUUUUGAAAAUAAUCUCAUUUCCUACUUUUUCAAAACAUGUUAUAGGAUAGGGUGAUUUGCCAAAAGUGAUUUUUUAAAAAAAAUUUGAGCCUUCUAAAUGUAAUUCCAAUUGAGCUCUUUGUAUCUAAAUAUUAUUGGAAAAAUGAUAUUAUAUUAAUAAUAAUUGGUAACAUUAAGGUGGCAUUUAUUUUUUUCUUUGUGGGUUUGCAAUUUAAAAGGAUCUAGAUUUUUUUAAAGUUAAAAUACAAGUAUCCAAAUAAUUUUUUUUUUAAUAUCUCAAUAUAGGUGACAUCUUAUUUAAAAAUGACUUAUUUUAAAUACAACAUCUUAUUUUAAUUCUUUUUCAAAUAAUAUGUGAAAAAUUAGUGUCAGAAGCAUUGGUUUCAUUUCAUCAUUUAUUCUUAAUUCAAAACUUUGCAAGUCAAAAUAUAAAAAAAUUUACGGAACAAAAGGUAAAUGUGAUACAAUUCAUCACCAGCUCCCAGCGUGAUCUUGUUGGCUUGGUGCCAAUAUGUUCAGCACGUCAUCAAUCACGGGUUCGAGGGGAGCUGGUACCAAGUCGGAAGCAACGUACAGGAAUUGUGUGUGUGUGUACAUAUCUACGGACCUGUCUAUGUUACAGAUUCUGUAACAAACAUCUCCCGUCAUCCCACCAUCCGAUCUUCUAUUGUUUAGUUUCUCACUCCACAUCCAACGGCUGAUGCUGCAGUCUGUAGCUUCAAGUCCUAUAUAUAUAUGUAUGUUCUUACAUGAAAAAAGGUAUUACAAAAUACCUUCUUUUUAUCACAAAUGCAAAAAAGUUAUUAUUAUUUUUUAUUGAUUUCUUAUUAAUAAGAGAUUUGAAAAGUAUAAGCGUCUUAUUAUAUAUAAACCUAGUUUCUUUUGUUUAAGGAUAUCAAACAUUCAGUCAUAAUUUUUUUUUUUUUUUUGACCUUUUGGUUGUCAUAUAUGCAAUGAUGAGAUCAACGUCAUGAGAGAAGCAAUAAUGGAACCACACAUUCGGAGUUGAUCUUGAUGAUUCAAAUUGAAAAAAGAAUUUAUGUAUCUAUUGAUAAAGUGUAGUGACCUUUAUAUUAUGACAAACUUAAAAGAUACAAACAUCAUUUUCCUGUAUUAGAGAAUUUCAGUGGGUAUUUAUAAGUUCAUACUUUAAUCACAUCACUAGAGAUUGAAGAAAUUUGAGAUCUUACAAGGAAUUAUAUUUUUUUCAAAAAAAAAAAAAAUACAAUCAUCUUAAGGUCAGUUUGAUAAUACUAUAACUUUUAAAAUAAUUGUUGUUAAUUAUACAAUUGCGAAGAGAAUCAAUUAAACGUUUGGUAAUAUUUAUUUUUAAAAGCACUAUGGAUUUUUUUCCAAUGUAUAAUGUGUAUAGUGUAAAAUUUACUGAAAUAUAUGCCUAUUGCCAGAAAUUUGAAAGAACGAGCUUGUAUUAUUGAUAUUCCACUGCUCAAUUUUAUAUAUACAAUGGCCUUGUACUACAUUUACAGCUGGUGAAUAAUGCAUGUAUUGAAUUCGUACUUCAUCCCUUGCUGUUAAUCCUAGGGCUGAGAUUUAAGGGUAAAUGAUAAUACAAAGGUAAUAAGGUUCGUUAUGCACUUCUGUUUUAUUCACUGUUCAAUUCAGACCCCCUUAAUUCUUUGAUUCCAGUCUUGACCAUUGAUCUUCUUAAAAUCUUAAGACAUUUCAUCCUUCUACAAGUAUCAGGGACUAUCUUCUUGAAUGCUCGCUAGUGACUAUUUAGUUCCUGAAUUCAAAUACUCGCCAAGAGACUCUUCAUUGAGGCAUUUCAUCAAACGCUUUUAUACUUCCAUCAAACACUUGUUGCUUUAACUAUAAAAAAAGAAAAAAAAAUGGUGUUCACUGUUGUUUUGACCAAACUUCUCAUAACUCGGUGGUAUGGUGCUUCAAGAACCGUUUAACUUGGUCUUAGGUUCGAGAAGGUUGGUAGCUAAAUUUAGUUCAACUCCAUUAUGAUCCAUCUUCAUCAUUUACAACUUAAUUAAUGAUGCAUUCAAAAAUUAAUAAUGUUAUGUAUGAUUAGUUAAGAUAUUUAGUUUAUAUUUUAGUCAAUGUAAGAAAUGAUAUAUCACUAUUUGAUUUAUUUAAAUGGGGCAAAACUAUGUUGCAACAGUGGUACGGUACCACUGUUGCUUUCAGCCAUUGGAUCUUGCUAAUACAACUGUACAACUAUACAUCCAAUGACUGGUUGCAACUGUAAUACCAUACCACUGUUGCAACAUAGCUGGACCCAUUUAAAUGAUAGUUAAGUCAUAUCAUAUUUAAUUCAAAUGGUAAAAUUUUAUUAGUGAUGCAUCAAUUAGAAUACGAAUUAAUAUACCCUAAUUGAAUAAGUAUAAUAUUAUUAUUUAAAAAUGACUUGUUUUAAAUACAACGUCUUAUUUUAAUUCUUUUUCAAAUAAUAUGUGAAAAAUUAGUGUCAGAAGCAUUGGUUUCAUUUCAUCAUUUAUUCUUAAUUCAAAACUUUGCAAGUCAAAAUAUAAAAAAAUUUACGGAACAAAAGGUAAAUGUGAUACAAUUCAUCACCAGCUCCCAGCGUGAUCUUGUUGGCUUGGUGCCAAUAUGUUCAGCACGUCAUCAAUCACGGGUUCGAGGGGAGCUGGUACCAAAUCAGAAGCAACGUACAGGAAUUGUGUGUGACCUGCCUAUGGUACAGAUUCUGUACCUAACAUCUCCCGUACCCCACCGUCCCAUUUUCUAUGGUUUAAUAUCUCACUCCACAUCCAACCACAUCCAACGGCUGAUGCUGCAGUCUGUAGCUUACAGAUUCUGUAAGCUAGUCGAGUCCAUAUUUGUAUGUUCUUACGUGAAAAAAGGUAUUACAAAAUACCUUCUUUUUAUCACAAAUGCAAAAAGUUA
rnacentral:lncRNA from 1 species